rnacentral:lncRNA from 1 species
CUGGGCUUCUUCCUGGAGAGAAUUCAAGAUAAAGAAACAUAAUCCACCUCCAGGUAUCAUCGACAAGCGGAUCACCACCGGACUCCGGCUCCCCGCUAUCGUAUCGGGCAGAGGGUAUGGUUGUCCACUCGGGACCUGCCCCUCCAGGUGGAAUCCCGCAAACUUUCCCCCCACUUCAUUGGUCCUUUCCCCAUUUAUAGAGUCCUUAGUCCCACUGCUGUCCGUUAUGGCCCAGAGGAGAGGUGCUGGGUUCCCGCUAAAGACAUCCUGGAACCGGCCCUCAUCGCCGACUUUCACCGCCGACACCCCGGUCAGCCAGGUGGCGAAUCGCAUCUCUGCAUGUCUGGCAGACAUAUCAGUGAGGAUGACGGAUCACCACCUCAAGCUGAACCUCGGCAAGACUGAGCUGCUCUUCCUCCCGGGGAAGGACUGCCCGUUCCAUGAUCUCGCCAUCACGGUUGACAACUCCAUUGUGUCCUCCUCCCAGAGUGCUAAGAGCCUUGGCGUGACCCUGGACAACACCCUGUCGUUCUCCGCAAACAUCAAGGCGGUGACCCGAUCCUGUAGGUUCAUGC